rnacentral:rRNA from 1 species
GACGAACGCUGGCGGCGUGCUUAACACAUGCAAGUCGAACGGAAAGGCCCUGCUUUUGUGGGGUGCUCGAGUGGCGAACGGGUGAGUAACACGUGAGUAACCUGCCCUUGACUUUGGGAUAACUUCAGGAAACUGGGGCUAAUACCGGAUAGGAGCUCCUGCUGCAUGGUGGGGGUUGGAAAGUUUCGGCGGUUGGGGAUGGACUCGCGGCUUAUCAGCUUGUUGGUGGGGUAGUUGCUUACCAAGGCUUUGACGGGUAGCCGGCCUGUGAGGGUGACCGGGCACAUGGGGACCGAGAUACGGCCCAGAGUCCUACGGGAGGCAGCAGUGGGGAAUAUUGCACAAUGGGCGGAAGCCUGAUGCAGAAACGCCGCGUGCGGGAUGACGGCCUUCGGGUUGUAAACCGCUUUCGCCUGUGACGAAGCGUGAGUGACGGUAAUGGGUAAAGAAGCACCGGCUAACUACGUG